GACGAACGCUGGCGGCGUGCUUAACACAUGCAAGUCGAACGGUGAAGCGCCUUCCUUUUUGGUGGGUGUGGAUGAGUGGCGAACGGGUGAGUAACACGUGAGUAACCUGCCCCCUUCUUCUGGAUAACCGCAUGAAAGUGUGGCUAAUACGGGAUAUUCUGGGUCUGUCGCAUGAUGGGUCUGGGAAAGAUAUUGUUUCGGUGGGGGAUGGGCUCGCGGCCUAUCAGCUUGUUGGUGGGGUGAUGGCCUACCAAGGCGGUGACGGGUAGCCGGCCUGAGAGGGGGGACGGUCACACUGGGACUGAGACACGGCCCAGACUCCUACGGGAGGCAGCAGGGGGGAAUAUUGCACAAUGGGCGCAAGCUUGAUGCAGCGACGCCGCGUGAGGGAUGGAGGCCUUCGGGUUGUGAACCUCUUUCGCCAGUGAAGCAGGCCUGCCUCGUUUGUGGGUGGGUUGACGGUAGCUGGAGAAGAAGCGCCGGCUAACUACGUG
rnacentral:rRNA from 1 species